rnacentral:lncRNA from 1 species
ACACAGGACAAGAGCAGGAAGAAGGCAGCCCAAGGAUAACAAAAUGUCAGAGCUGACAGACCAGAGAUACCUGUCACACUUCUUGGAUUAACUUUUCCAGCUCAGUGGAUGGUACCACAGCUUUCCAGAACAAGGCAAAAGUGAGGAGACCUCCCUUCCUGUACCAGCUCCCACUUCCCAACAAUCUGACAGUCCUUACAGGACCUUCUAGGACCAGAUCCUUCUCACCAAGGCUCACUCCUUGGUCUCCACUACAUCUGAAGAGGUUACAAGGAAUUCUGGCAUAUUACCAUCCUUGGCCUAGGAGCCCACCAAAGGACAUGUGUGGACCAGCAUUUGCUUUCAGACUUGCUCCUGCUGGCCUCCUGCCACUGCCUGAUGUCAGUGCUACAAUGCUCUGUCAAUAGGGCAAGCCACGGCAGGGCAAGUCCCCUUCAGAAGGAGGCUAGAGAAGCAGAGUGGUCAGACGUCUGAGAAGAGCCGGUGUCAUGAACCUUUUCUGCCCUGCCUUCUAGGAAUCCUAGCCACCUUCUGGUGCAGCUUGCCCCAGACAUCCAGACAUGGAGAGCCUUUGGUCUGAACUGCUCUCCACCUCAGACAACAGGCCUUCUGGGCAACACAAGGCACUCUGUACAGCCCCAUUGGGAAGUCAGUGGCUUUUGCACCUUUGUGAGUUGAAUCCUGCCUGGGAAGACAAGAACACAGACUGAGCAACCCCAACCUGGAUAUCUGACAUUG